GCCAUUUCUAUGGAUUAGUUGCAUGAACAAUCAAUCCUCUAGCCUCCCACCAGCCUUUCUUUAAAAUGAGGGUAAUCUCUGGAACAUUCUGGGGUGUGACAAGUCUAAUAUAAGUCCUCUGACCUCACUCCUCCAUGACGUCACCACCCACCUAUGCCAAGGGAAUGACAAGAAGACUCAGCGGCACCAUCCACAAUGGAAAUGCAGAGUCUUUUCGCAUUACACUGCCAGCCAAACAGUAAGAGAUGCAUCCUACUCUGAAAAACUGUUUUUUUUUUUUUUUUUUUUUGAAGAACACACAGCCUCUAGAAGUCACUAACAACAUGCAUAUGAAGUGUGUCUGGAAAAGAAGUAGUUAACAAUACUUAUUAUUUUUCCAACAUUAACUGCACAGGGACUUUUAAAACUGACUUCGAACAAUUAGGAUAAGCAAAAAAAAUGUAUGCUUUAUCAAGAAAUAUUUAAAAACUUAUAUGUGAUAUUGCUAUUUGUAGCACUCUGCUCAUCAAAUCAAGUCUGCCUUGUCUCAUUACAUGAUCCCUGCCAUACUGUUUCCAAAUGUUUAUAGUUUGUGUUCAUUAGUCCAUUUUUAGCCCUCCUUUUCCCCAUUUCUUUGUCUUGCAUUGUUUGGGUAUUCUUUGGUUACAUUUGGUAAGGUCUUUGCAUAUUUGUUUAUUUUUUAUGUGAUGAUGUUUUUCCAGACCUAUACAUUAAAAUGUUUACUAAUUUACUAAUUCAACCAUUCUUUCUUUUUGGGGGAAUGACUGCUGAGCAACUGCUGUGACACAGCUGGAACUUGACUCAAAGGACAAACAGAUGAGAUGGCCAAUAAUUUUGGAGUACAAGUGUGGUAUUUUCAUAAAUAUCCCAUCCCAAGGUUACCAGAAUCUGCCAGUCCCAGCUUUGGGUCCAGCCUCAUGCACCACUCCUUCAAAGCGAUGACCACUAACCUGCCAGCAAGGAACACUUUGAUGACCACUGCCUGCAUCAUCUUCACCAAGAAUAAACAUCUACCAACUGCAGCUUGUGCCACUUCGAACAGCAAAUGACACUUCAUCAACCAUUGCAUCUCUUCAGUCCAUUUUGGAUGGACUCCAAAGACUCUUAAUCGUUACCCUUACAGUUUUAAACAUUACUAACAUAUUGAAAAAUUGCAUCACUGAAUCUAUUCAGUGAAUACAUGACUUGUAUAACACUACUGUAGAGCAAAGUAAUAAAGGCAUA